rnacentral:rRNA from 1 species
GACGAACGCUGGCGGCGUGCCUAAUACAUGCAAGUCGAACGCAGUGGGGACGGGUGAGUAACACGUGGGUAACCUCCCAUCAGAGGGGAUAACACUUGGAAACAGGUGCUAAACCGAUACUGAUGGAUGGACCCGCGUUGCAUGAGCUAGGUGGUGAGGUAACGGCCCACCAAGGCGACGAUGCAUAGCCGGUCUGGGAGGGUGAUCAGCCAAACUGGAACUGGAACACGGGCCAGACGCCGACGGGAGGCAGCAGUAGGGAAUGUUCGGCAAUGGACGAAAGCCUGACCCAGCAACGACGCGUGAGUGAAGAAGGUUUUCGGUUCGUAAAGCUCUGUUGUUGGGGAGGCGGUAUCUAACCAGAAAGCCACGGCUAACUACGUGCCAGCAGCCGCGGUAAUAC